rnacentral:rRNA from 1 species
UGAGGAAUAUUGGACAAUGGGCGAAAGCCUGAUCCAGCCAUGCCGCGUGCAGGAAGACUGCCCUAUGGGUUGUAAACUGCUUUUGUACGGGAAGAAACACCCCCACGUGUGGGGACUUGACGGUACCGUAAGAAUAAGCAUCGGCUAACUCCGUGCCAGCAGCCGCGGUAAUACGGAGGAUGCAAGCGUUAUCCGGAAUCAUUGGGUUUAAAGGGUCCGUAGGCGGGCAAUUAAGUCAGAGGUGAAAGUCUGCGGCUCAACCGUAGAACUGCCUUUGAAACUGGUUGUCUUGAAUCGUUGUGAAGUGGUUAGAAUGAGCAGUGUAGCGGUGAAAUGCUUAGAGAUUGCUCAGAAUACCGAUUGCGAAGGCAGAUCACUAACAACGUAUUGACGCUGAGGGACGAAAGCGUGGGGAGCGAACAGG